rnacentral:rRNA from 1 species
GGCGGCGUGCCUAAUACAUGCAAGUCGAGCGCAGGAAACAAGUAGAUCCCUUCGGGGUGACGCUUGUGGAAUGAGCGGCGGACGGGUGAGUAACACGUGGGCAACCUACCUUGUAGACUGGGAUAACUCCGGGAAACCGGAGCUAAUACGGGAUGAUCAUUUGAAUCGCAUGAUUGAAAUGUAAAAGUGGGGAGUAAUCCUCACACUAUGAGAUGGGCCCGCGGCGCAUUAGCUAGUUGGUAAGGUAAUGGCUUACCAAGGCAACGAUGCGUAGCCGACCUGAGAGGGUGAUCGGCCACACUGGAACUGAGACACGGUCCAGACUCCUACGGGAGGCAGCAGUAGGGAAUCAUCCGCAAUGGGCGAAAGCCUGACGGUGCAACGCCGCGUGAACGAUGAAGGUUUUCGGAUCGUAAAGUUCUGUUAUGAGGGAAGAACAAGUGCCGUUCGAAUGGGGCGGCACCUUGACGGUACCUCACGAGAAAGCCCCGGCUAACUACGUG